ensembl:rRNA 5S_rRNA 5S ribosomal RNA
CCAAACCAUGUCACCACUCUGAAUGUCCCUGAUCUCCUCUGACCUUGAAAGCUAAGCGUGAUCAGGCCUGGUUAGUACUGAGAUGGGAGACAAAGGAGAAGUCCUUACAAAGGAUCAGUUGGA